AACGAACGCUGGCGGCAGGCCUAACACAUGCAAGUCGAACGCCGUAGCAAUACGGAGUGGCAGACGGGUGAGUAACACGUGGGAACGUACCCUUCGGUUCGGGAUAACUCAGGGAAACUUGAGCUAAUACCGGAUACGUCCGAGAGGAGAAAGAUUUAUCGCCGAGGGAUCGGCCCGCGUCUGAUUAGCUUGUUGGUGAGGUAACGGCUCACCAAGGCGACGAUCAGUAGCUGGUCGAGAGGAUGAUCAGCCACAUUGGGACUGAGACACGGCCCAAACUCCUACGGGAGGCAGCAGUGGGGAAUAUUGGACAAUGGGCGCAAGCCUGAUCCAGCCAUGCCGCGUGAGUGAUGAAGGCCCUAGGGUUGUAAAGCUCUUUUACCCGGGAAGAUAAUGACUGUACCGGGAGAAUAAGCCCCGCUAACUUCGUGCCAGCAGCCGCGGUAAU
rnacentral:rRNA from 1 species